rnacentral:rRNA from 1 species
UCAAGCUAAUAAGAGCGCAGGGAGGAUGCCUUGGCAUUGGGAGCCGACGAAGGACGUGGUAAGCUGCGAAAAGCUGCGGGGAAUUGCAAGCAAGUAUUGAUCCGCAGAUGUCCGAAUGGAGCAAUCCGUUAAGAGUAAUAUCUUAACAUCAUAUACUGAAUCAAUAGGUAUAUGAGGGGAACCGCCUGAACUGAAACAUCUAAGUAGGGCGAGGAAAAGAAAUCAACCGAGAUUCCGAAAGUAGCGGCGAGCGAAAUCGGAAGAGGCUAAACCGAACUCAGAAAUGAGAUCGGGGUUUAGGACUGCAUUUAGUAUUGAAAUGAGCGAGCAGAAUGCUUUGGGAAAAGCAGCCGAAGAACGUGAGAGCCGUGUAAGCGAAGUGAGUUUCAGCGAGCAGUAUCCAAAGUACCGCGGGGCACGUGAAAUCCCGUGGGAAGAUGGGGGGACCACCCUCCAAGCCUAAAUACUACCCAAUGACCGAUAGCGAAUAGUACUGUGAAGGAAAGGUGAAAAGCACCCCGGGAGGGGAGUGAAAAAGAACCUGAAACCCUGUGCUUACAAGCACUGAGAGCUCGUCAAAGAGUGAUCAGGUACCUAUUGUAGAAUGGUCCGGCGAGUUAUGAUAUGCAGCAAGGUUAAGUACUUAAGGUACGGAGCCGCAGCGAGAGCGAGUCUGAAUAGGGCGUAAAGUUGUAUGUCAUAGACCCGAAACCGAGUGACCUAGCCAUGUCCAGGCUGAAGUGGAGGUAAAACUCCAUGGAGGGCCGAACCGACCUCCGUUGAAAAGGCGGCGGAUGAGGUGUGGCUAGCGGAGAAAUUCCAAUCGAACUCGGAUAUAGCUGGUUCUCUCCGAAAUAGCUUUAGGGCUAGCGUUGCAACAGAUUACCGGAGGUAAAGCACUGAAUAGGCUAGGGGGCGAGAGCUUACUGAACCUUAUCAAACUAAGAAUGCCGGAUAAUUGAUUUGCAGCAGUCAGACAGUGUGAGAUAAGUUUCAUUGUCAAAAGGGAAACAGCCCAGACCCACAGCUAAGGUCCCAAAGUACAUUUGAGUGGAAAAGGAUGUGGGGUUGCAUAGACAACCGGGAUGUUGGCUUAGAAGCAGCCAUACAUUAAAAGAGUGCGUAAUAGCUCACCGGUCGAGUGACCCUGCGCCGAAAAUUCAACGGGGCUAAAAUGUACACCGAAGCUUGGGAUUGUACUAUGUACAGUGGUAGGAGAGCGUCGAAUAUGGGGUGAAGUCAGAGCGGAAGCGCUGGUGGACUGUAUUCGAGUGAGAAUGCCGGAAUGAGUAGCGAGAAUUAUGUGAGAAUCAUAAUGGCCGAAAGUCUAAGGUUUUGGAAGGAAGGUUCGUCCGCUUCCAGUAAGCCGGGAGCUAAGGUGAGGCCGAAAGGCGUAGCCGAUGCACAUACGGUUGAAAUUCCGUAGCCUCCGAAGUAUUUAAACAGAAGGACACUUGAGAAGUGAUGAUGCCGGGCGAUGGUUGACCCGGUCGUAAGGGACCGAAAUUUAGUAGGGAAGUCAUCAUGGAUCGAGGCGAGAAAAGUUCUGUGAAUAUACAAGGAGCCCGUACCGCAAACCGACACAGGUAGAUAGGAAGAAAAUUCUAAGGCCAACGGGAGAAGGGUUGUUAAGGAACUCGGCAAGUUGACCCCGUAACUUCGGAAUAAGGGGUGCUCUCGAGAGAGAGCCGCAGAGAAUAGGCCCAGGCGACUGUUUAGCAAAAACACAGCUCUAUGCUAAAUCGAAAGAUGAUGUAUAUGGGGUGACACCUGCCCGGUGCCGGAAGGUUAAGAGGAGGCGUGAGAGCGCUGAAUUGAAGCCCCGGUAAACGGCGGCCGUAACUAUAACGGUCCUAAGGUAGCGAAAUUCCUUGUCAGGUAAGUUCUGACCCGCACGAAUGGUGUAACGAUCUGGGCACUGUCUCAACAACCCGCCCGGCGAAAUUGUAGUACCGGUGAAGAUGCCGGUUACCCGCGACUAGACGGAAAGACCCCAUGGAGCUUUACUGCAGCUUAAUGUUGAAUUUCGGUAUUUCAUGUACAGGAUAGGUGGGAGACUGGGAACUACAGGCGUCAGCUUGUGGGGAGUCACUGUUGGGAUACCACUCUUGAAGUGCUGGAAUUCUAACCUGCGGCCUUGAAUCAGGUCGGGGGACAUCGUUAGGCGGGCAGUUUGACUGGGGCGGUCGCCUCCAAAAGAGUAACGGAGGCGCUCAAAGGUCAGCUCAGCAUGGAUGGAAACCAUGCAAGUGAGUGCAAACGCAAAAGCUGGCCUAACUGCGAGACUGACGGGUCGAGCAGUAACGAAAGUUGGAGUUAGUGAUCCGGCGGUAUGUGAGUGGAAAUGCCGUCGCUCAACGGAUAAAAGCUACCCUGGGGAUAACAGGCUGAUCUCCCCCAAGAGUCCACAUCGACGGGGAGGUUUGGCACCUCGAUGUCGGCUCAUCACAUCCUGGGGCUGUAUUCGGUCCCAAGGGUUCGGCUGUUCGCCGAUUAAAGUGGUACGCGAGCUGGGUUCAGAACGUCGCGAGACAGUUCGGUCCCUAUCUGUCGUGGGCGCAGGAUAUUUGAGGAGCUCUGUCCUUAGUACGAGAGGACCGGGAUGGACGUACCUCUGGUGCACCAGUUGUCAUGCCAAUGGCACGGCUGGGCAGCUAUGUACGGAACGGAUAAACGCUGAAAGCAUCUAAGCGUGAAGCCGACUCCAAGAUUAGAUAUCCCAUCGUAUAACGAGUAAGACCCCUUGAAGACUACGAGGUUGAUAGGCUGCGUGUGUAAGUGCCGUGAGGCAUUCAGCUUGGCAGUACUAAUAGGUCGAGGGCUUGACCAC